rnacentral:rRNA from 1 species
GAUGGACGCUAGCGGGAGGCCUAACACAUGCAAGCCGAGCGGUAUUUGUUCUUCGGAACAGAGAGAGCGGCGCACGGGUGCGGAACACGUGUGCAACCUGCCCUUAUCUGGGGGAUAGCCUUUCGAAAGGAAGAUUAAUACCCCAUAAUAUAUUGAGUGGCAUCAUUUGAUAUUGAAAACUCCGGUGGAUAGAGAUGGGCACGCGCAAGAUUAGAUAGUUGGUGAGGUAACGGCUCACCAAGUCAAUGAUCUUUAGGGGGCCUGAGAGGGUGAUCCCCCACACUGGUACUGAGACACGGACCAGACUCCUACGGGAGGCAGCAGUGAGGAAUAUUGGACAAUGGGUUAGCGCCUGAUCCAGCCAUCCCGCGUGAAGGACGACGGCCCUAUGGGUUGUAAACUUCUUUUGUAUAGGGAUAAACCUACUCUCGUGAGAGUAGCUGAAGGUACUAUACGAAUAAGCACCGGCUAACUCCGUG